rnacentral:rRNA from 1 species
GACGAACGCUGGCGGCGUGCUUAACACAUGCAAGUCGAACGGAAAGGCCCUGCUUUUGUGGGGUGCUCGAGUGGCGAACGGGUGAGUAACACGUGAGUAACCUGCCCUUGACUUUGGGAUAACUUCAGGAAACUGGGGCUAAUACCGGAUAGGAGCUCCUGCUGCAUGGUGGGGGUUGGAAAGUUUCGGCGGUUGGGGAUGGACUCGCGGCUUAUCAGCUUGUUGGUGGGGUAGUGGCUUACCAAGGCUUUGACGGGUAGCCGGCCUGGGGGGGUGACCGGCCACAUUGGGACUGAGAUACGGCCCAGACUCCUACGGGAGGCAGCAGUGGGGAAUAUUGCACAAUGGGCGGAAGCCUGAUGCAGCAACGCCGCGUGCGGGAUGACGGCCUUCGGGUUGUAACCCGCUUUCGCCUGUGACGAAGCGUGAGUGACGGUAAUGGGUAAAGAAGCACCGGCUAACUACGUG